GACGAACGCUGGCGGCGUGCUUAACACAUGCAAGUCGAACGAGGUCCAUGAAGUAGCAAUACUUCGGAAGACCUAGUGGCGAACGGGUGCGUAACACGUGAGGAGCUUGUCCCGGUCUCUGGGAUAACAGUUGGAAACGACUGCUAAUACCGGAUGACGUCGGAGCAUCGCAUGGUGCGCUGACGAAAGGGUUACUGGAUCGGGAGAGCCUCGCGGCCUAUCAGCUUGUUGGUGGGGUUACGGGCCUACCAAGGCAUCGACGGGUAGGCUGGUCUGAGAGGAUGAUCAGCCACACUGGGACUGAGACACGGCCCAGACUCCUACGGGAGGCAGCAGUGGGGAAUCUUGCGCAAUGGGCGAAAGACCUGACGCAGCAACGCCGCGUGCGGGAAGAAGGCUCUCGGGUUGUAAACC
rnacentral:rRNA from 1 species